UGGGGUAUGGUGUAAUGGUAGCACAAGAGACUUUGACUCUCUCGGCGUAAGUUCAAUUCUUACUACCCUAA
rnacentral:tRNA from 1 species